rnacentral:tRNA from 1 species
UGGGAUAUAGCCAAGUGGUAAGGCGCGGGUUUUUGAUAUCUGUAUACAAAGGUUCGAAUCCUUUUAUCCCAG